rnacentral:rRNA from 1 species
CCUACGGGUGGCAGCAGUGGGGAAUAUUGGACAAUGGGCGAAAGCCUGAUCCAGCCAUGCCGCGUGUGUGAAGAAGGCCUUCGGGUUGUAAAGCACUUUCAGUGGGGAAGAAAGCCUUGGGGCUAAUACCCUCGAGGAAGGACAUCACCCACAGAAGAAGCACCGGCUAACUCCGUGCCAGCAGCCGCGGUAAUACGGAGGGUGCGAGCGUUAAUCGGAAUUACUGGGCGUAAAGCGCGCGUAGGCGGUCUGAUAAGCCGGUUGUGAAAGCCCCGGGCUCAACCUGGGAACGGCAUCCGGAACUGUCAGGCUAGAGUGCAGGAGAGGAAGGUAGAAUUCCCGGUGUAGCGGUGAAAUGCGUAGAGAUCGGGAGGAAUACCAGUGGCGAAGGCGGCCUUCUGGACUGACACUGACGCUGAGGUGCGAAAGCGUGGGUAGCAAACAGGAUUAGAUCCCCGAGUAGUC